UCGACUGUUUUGAUGUCGCGAGCAAGGUGUUCGACGAAAUGUCGCCACGGAGAUGACAUUCCGUGGGAUCCCGGAUCCGCUCUCGGGCCGGGCAGCGUGAAGAGGGGGCUCAACAUCUUCCUGUUGAGUGUUUCGGAAGUGACGCAUGAGCUUGGAUGAUCUCAGAACGGGAGCGUUCAUGGAUGGGUUAGAAGAAGCGGGCGAUGGAGUUUGCCGUUGUCUCGCAGAAGUCAGUCCCCGAUCUCUAGCAAUGACUGGCGUCCUUGCUUGAACAACGAAUCUUUUCCAAAUAACGAGCGAGGAGGAUACUAGAGGUUAGAGGAGUCCAUACCAAAGCAACCGGGACCGGUCUGGGCCAGGACGGCCGAGUGCGCGCAGGUCUUCUAUGUUUUGAUGUCGCCAGGAAGCUGUUCGACGAAAGUCGCCACAGAUGAUGCGUGGGCUUUGAUGAUCUGCUAAGGAGAAAGAGCGUCCGUGGUUGGGUUACAAGAAGCGCCGGGAUCGAAUUUCACGUUGUCUUGCAGAACUCAGUACUCGUUUUCUAUGCAAAAAGUGACGCCUUUGCAUGCACCAAUAAUCUCUUGCAAAUGACGAGCGUGAUGGAUUCUUUCUCAUGGCCGGUGCACGUACUGGAUUCAGGGAACCAUCUCCAUUGCCAAAGACCAAGAACCGCGUCCGAAGGCCAGAUAUUUCAGGGAACCAGGCCAGUUGAGUUUGUGUUCCAUCAUAGCAUGUUCCUGGACCAGGGGGUUUGCAUCUCCAUGCUAUAAGACACACACAGACAGACAGACACUAGAAGGAAGUCUUACCAUGUAUCUGCAUGACUCUGAAUUCUGUUGUCCUUUACCUCAAAGCCUGCACAAUCAUCCAGAGAAAGAAGACUCCUGUUGUUGUUAUCCAAAGUAACUCUUGGAAGGCAAGACCCAUCAGAGGACAUCUCCACAAAGGCUUAAGCUGUAAGUCAGUGUUUUACUUGUCAAAUGUCAUAGAGCCCAGAGGUAUGUAUAUUGCUGUCCCUGAAAGCAAGCUAAGAUCCGGGAAGAUCCAGUGUACUUCAUAAAUCAUAUCCUGCAGCUUCCAUGAGGGCUAAAGGAACUGCAGAAACUUGCUGGGCUACCUGGAAAGCAGCAUUGUGGGAAGAAAAGGAAGGCAAGAAUCUUCUUGGUAGGACAAGGAGCUAGAAGUCACAGUUGCUCACAGGAACUGUAGCUGUAGGUAUGUGUGACCCAACCAACCCAACUCAACUCAACCCUCUCUCUCUCUCUCUCUC